AGAGUUUGAUCCUGGCUCAGGAUUAACGCUAGCGGCAGGCCUAAUACAUGCAAGUCGAGGGGGAAAGUCACUUCGGUGGCUGGAGACCGGCGAACGGGUGCGUAACGCGUAUGCAAUCUACCUAUAGCAGAGGGAUAGGCUAUGGAAACAUGGAUUAAUACCUCAUAAAGCAAUGAAGUCGCAUGGCGGCAUUGCUAAAGUCACGGCGGCUAUAGAUGAGCAUGCGUCUGAUUAGUUAGUUGGUGGGGUAAAGGCUCACCAAGACCACGAUCAGUAGCGGGUUUGAGAGGAUGAUCCGCCACACUGGCACUGAGAUACGGGCCAGACUCCUACGGGAGGCAGCAGUAGGGAAUAUUGGUCAAUGGGCGCAAGCCUGAACCAGCCAUGCCGCGUGCAGGAAGAAGGCCUUCUGGGUUGUAAACUGCUUUUAAACAGGAAGAAAAAGCUCUUGCGAGGGCAAUUGACGGUACUGUAAGAAUAAGCACCGGCUAACUCCGUGCCAGCAGCCGCGGUAAUACGGAGGGUGCAAGCGUUGUCCGGAUUUAUUGGGUUUAAAGGGUGUGUAGGCGGUGUAUUAAGUCAGUGGUGAAAGCCUGCGGCUCAACCGUAGAAAUGCCAUUGAUACUGACACACUUGAGUAUGGACGAGGUAGGCGGAAUUUAUGGUGUAGCGGUGAAAUGCAUAGAUACCAUAAAGAACACCGAUAGCGAAGGCAGCUUACUAGGCCAUAACUGACGCUGAGGCACGAAAGCGUGGGGAGCGAACAGGAUUAGAUACCCUGGUAGUCCACGCUGUAAACGAUGAUCACUCGCUGUUGGCGAUA
rnacentral:rRNA from 1 species